rnacentral:rRNA from 1 species
GACGAACGCUGGCGGCGUGCUUAACACAUGCAAGUCGAACGGAAAGACCCUGCUUUUGUGCGGUGCUCGAGUGCCGAACGCGUGAGUAACACGUGAGUAUCCUGCCCUUGUCUUUCGGAUAUCUUCACGAAACUGGGGCUAAUACCCGAUAGGAUCUCCUGCUCCAUGGUGGGGGUUGGAAAGUUUCGGCGGUUGGGGAUGGAAUGGCGGCUUACCAGCUGGUUGGUUGGGUAGGUGCUGACGAAGGCUUUGAAGGGUACCCGGCCUGAGAGGGUGACCAGCCACAUUGGGACUGAGAGACGGACCAGACUGCUACGGGAGGCAACAGUGGGGAAUAUGACACAACGGGCGCAAGCGUGAGGUGGCGACGCUGGGAGCGGAAUGACGUCUUUCGGGUUAAAAACCGCUGUCGACUGAGACGAAGCGGGAGUGACGGUAAUGGGUAAAGAAGCACCGGCUAACUACGUG